rnacentral:lncRNA from 1 species
AACCAAAAACCAACAACAAAAACAGUGUGGGAUAAAUUCUGAAGAGUAUCUUUCAACAUAUCCUGACUACUGCUUUCAAAUCGAGUGCAGAGCUUUGUAUGUGCAUCUUGAAGUCUGACCAGGUCUACUUCUUUGGCAACAAGUAUAUCCAUCAUGCUUUCUCUUUUCAGAUUGCUGUUUUCCCAAGUUUUCUCUUCUAAAACAGCUAAGAUUUGUUCUCUUUCCACAGCAUAGGCUUGUAACUUGGCAAUGAACCUGUCCAUUGUCUUGGCUGGAGGAAUGAGAAGAUAAGCUCCUGUGAAGACAUUAUACCUCCAAAUCUACACCUUGCACUGGUUUUUCAGGGGCUGGCGGACGGCACUGCUGGAAGUGACGCGGCGAGGGCGGAGCCAAGGGCCGGGACAGUCAUCGUCGUCGUCGUCGCCGCCGCCGCUGCCGCGAAGAAGCAGUUCCACCUGGUGAAGCAGCUGGGCAACCAGACCGUGGGCAAGCAAGUGCAUCACACCGGGCCUGUGGGGGUGCGCGGGCCGGGGGCUGCAAGCGGGGGUGCGCGGGCCCGCUCCCCGGGGCCCCGGCUGCUUCAGGUCCGGCCGUCACCCGGUUCGAGGGCGGCGGGGCCCGGGGCAGGGGGCGGUGCCACGCCGCGGCCUGGCGCGCCGCUCUGGGCCGCCCGCCCAGUCCUGGAGACCGGCUGGGCAGGCCGCACCUCCCCGCUCCCACCCCUAGGGGUCCCCGCUGCCCCGUGGAGCAUCGCCUUCCCGCUACCUGCUCUCUGUUUUCUCUCCUCCUCCCGGGGAUCGAGCCGGCCGGGACUGGCGCCUGGGGCUGAGACUCCGAUAAGUGGUGUGUUCCAGGCUGCCCGGCUCGGGGGCGGCAUGGUCAGCCUUUCCGGGUGGCCCCGCUGCCUCGAAGCCUUCACUUAACAAGCGCACGAUGGCAGGAAAGAAGGGAAGAGUUGUUCAAGCCCAUCGGAUCUGCCUAGAGAGUUUUCAGCGCGCCCCUUUGAGGGACCGGAGAGGUGGUGCCUCUCCAAACCAGGGGCCACGGUGAACGGGACGGCUUUGGAUUUGGGAGAAAAGGAUUCUCCAACCGCCUAGCGCCAAUUUAAAAAGAAAUGAUGAUGAUGAUUGUUUUAAACAAGUCUUUCUCACUUUGAAUUUGGAAGCAGAUGCUUCUCCAUGUUUCUAUGGGACAGCUGGACUCCUUGGCAGGCAUUGAUUAGGAACUGACA